CCUACGGGAGGCUGCAGUGGGGAAUAUUGGACAAUGGGCGCAAGCCUGAUCCAGCCAUGCCGCGUGAGUGAUGAAGGCCUUAGGGUUGUAAAGCUCUUUCACCGGAGAAGAUAAUGACGGUAUCCGGAGAAGAAGCCCCGGCUAACUUCGUGCCAGCAGCCGCGGUAAUACGAAGGGGGCUAGCGUUGUUCGGAUUUACUGGGCGUAAAGCGCACGUAGGCGGAUCGAUCAGUCAGGGGUGAAAUCCCAGAGCUCAACUCUGGAACUGCCUUUGA
rnacentral:rRNA from 1 species